GGGGCCAUAGCUCAGCUGGGAGAGCACCUGCUUUGCAAGCAGGGGGUCGGCGGUUCGAACCCGCCUGGCUCCA
rnacentral:tRNA from 1 species